AUGACUCAUCUUUCAAUUCCGCUGAGAGACUAAUUUGGGAAGUGUUUCUGAAAUGUAGCGGAAACAUGCGAUUUGAUGUCAUGUUUAUUUCAGCAACCAAUCCCUUUUCUUUAUUCUGGUAUGACUCAUCUUUCAAUUCCGCUGAGAGACUAAUUUGGGAAGUGUUUCUGAAAUGUAGCGGAAACAUGCGAUUUGAUGUCAUGUUUAUUUCAGCAACCAAUCCCUUUU
rnacentral:lncRNA from 1 species